AAUUAAAGACUAGUUUUUAAUUCGGUCCUUUUCAAGACAGGCACAGAGAAGUUGCAGGAGUGACGUGGGCUUCUGGGCUUCGUUGAGAGGAAGAUCUCCUGAGGGCUGACUCAUCUUCUGCAAGACUAGAGUGUAAAGACUGAAAUCUCAAGGCUGCUGAAGUACAGCUGCAUCUUAGUAUCUUCCAAUCCUCCAAAGAACAGCAUCUUUUAAAGGUUAUGGAAUCCAGUGCAAAACAUGAAGCCUCUCUUCAAAAAAUAGCAUAGAUAAUGGUGCUGGAGUACUUGGUAUUUGGGCUGGAUAUGUAUUCAGGAAGUAUAUCCAACCCCAGGUACAGAGCGAGAUCUGAGUUCUAGCUGGGAAUUCCCAAAUCCACCCACUUCCCUGCUAGCUGCUGGCUGAAGAUUAGACUGCAAAUUAGCACAAGACUUUUGGCUCCUUUCCAAAAUGUGACCUGGUGGCCAAAACUGGAAGCUGAAGCCUCUAUGUCCUCUUCUCUGUGCUACCUUAGGCAUGACUCUCUUGCCUCCAAGGUUUUCAGAAAGAAAAGGCUUUUUUUUCCAAGGAAGAGCAAUAUUUCUGUGGUCCUUGAAAGCUGUGAGACACCUAAUGAUGACUCUAACAGGAAAUAUAUCCUGAUGUUUGUUUAGAGUCAUCCUGACAGCAGGCAUCUAUGCUGAUACCCAGCACAAGCAAAUAAGGGAGGCUCUUUUUUGAGGGAUUACUUUGUUUUUAAGUGCAGCAGUCAAAUGAGUGCUUGAAAGUAUCGUGCUGCUGCCCCAAAAGAGCAGUCCCUAGCAAUAAAUAAAGGCUUUGGGCACAGGAUG